rnacentral:rRNA from 1 species
UACGUAGGGUGCGAGCGUUAAUCGGAAUUACUGGGCGUAAAGCGUGUGCAGGCGGUUUUGUAAGUCAGAUGUGAAAUCCCCGGGCUUAACCUGGGAACUGCGUUUGAAACUACAAGGCUAGAGUGUAGCAGAGGGGGGUGGAAUUCCACGUGUAGCAGUGAAAUGCGUAGAGAUGUGGAGGAACACCGAUGGCGAAGGCAGCCCCCUGGGUUAACACUGACGCUCAGGCACGAAAGCGUGGGGAGCAAACAGG